rnacentral:lncRNA from 1 species
CCGACCUUUGUCAAUUAUCCGAAAAAGGUUGCUAUGAAUUGUUUUCGUUGGUUGGUGAUACAGGUAUAUAAUGAUGGUAGCGUUACAAUUGUCCACUCUUCCUUUUACACCUUAGUCCUUUCUUCAUCCUUCGGAUAAAUUCUCUUCCCAUUCCCUCUUUGAGUAGAAUCCCAAACCCAAAUCUUCUGAAAAAACAAUUUGUGUUCCAGAAAUUUUCACAAUUGACGGUCCUUUAGCCUUCAAGCGAUAGAAAUGGCUUCCAUCAACUUUUAUUGCCCUUCAACUCUCCUUUCUCGCUCCCAGUAUGCUCUCUUUCUCUCUUCCUAGUGAAAUCUUUCUCAUUAUUUUAUGUGUUUUGGUUGUACAAUGUAUUGUUUUAGCAUUUCUGCUGAAUUAAAUGCAAAUAUGGGACCAUAUAUAUAACUUUAAGUAAUUGAGCAUUUGUAAAUAAAUUGUAUUGAUGGGAUAUGUGUGAUUUUUAUGUGAAUUGACAACGGGAUCUAUCUACUUGUGAUAGAAGAAAAAUUGUUUCUGGCAAAACUCAAAAGCUUAAACACUUGGGAAGCGAAAUACAAUAUUAAAGCUUUUCAGUUUGAAUGGUUAUAGGGAACUCAUUCGUCUCGACUCAUUAUGUUUUGAAAUAACUUCAUAUAUUGUUAUUACAUUAUCUCAAUUUUUAUUAAUACUUUUGUGAGAAAUUAAAAUUUAAGGGUGAGAUUGGUUGCGAGCAUGGAAUUUGCAUAGAAAGAAAAUAAAUUUUAGCCAUUUCAAUUGCCUAGAACUUAUUUGUAUAGAAAUCAUUAAUUAAAUGUGCUUGAUUGAUUUAGUUUUUAAACUUAGAAAGUAUUAUAUUUGUCCAUUUUUAAUUAGUGGGUAGAGGAGAGUGAGUGAUGGAUGAGAGAGAAACUUUAUUUUUGAGGAAAAUAUG